rnacentral:rRNA from 1 species
UACGGGGGGGGGUAAGCGUUGUUCGGAAUUACUGGGCGUAAAGGGCUCGUAGGCGGCCAACUAAGUCGGAUGUGAAAUCCCCAAGCUUAACUUGGGAACUGCAUCCGAUACUGGAUGGCUUGAAUCCGGGAGAGGGAUGCAGAAUUCCAGGUGUAGCGGUGAAAUGCGUAGAUAUCUGGAGGAAUACCGGUGGCGAAGGCGGCAUCCUGGACCGGCAUUGACGCUGAGGAGCGAAAGCUAGGGGAGCAAACGGGG